CACCGAAAAAAACCUAAAACCCAUACCCUCAUUUCAAAUUCUCUCUUCUUCUCAAACUUUGCAACAUUUUUUGUAGUUGAAAAUGGCUUCAAUCAAAGUGGUGUUCUUGGCCACCAUGUUGCUAGUCACUUUGGGUGCUCCGUUAUUUUGCGAAGCAGGAUAUUUUGGAUUAUGCAAAAAGGAUUCUGACUGUAUGGUGGUAGUGCCUGAACGUAAUGACUGUAGAGAAAGAGUUUGCAUUUUUGGGCA